UAUUUUUCCCAUUAAAAAAAACUGUCGUGAACAUUGUUUUUUAAACACAGCUAUAAUUCUUUCUUUAGGGCAAAUUUCUCAAAACGGAAUUGCUGGAUCAAAGGAGAUGUACACAUAGAAGACUUUUGUUAUGUCCUGCUUCAUUUCCCUCCUGGAAGAUGCAUCAACCUCUACGCCCACCAGCAGCCAAGUGCUAAUUUUUGAAAGUACACUGUAAUGCAUCCAAUGUAGACAAUGGUGUGGGUGAAUUUAAAGCUGCUUUUUAGUAAAUUCACAAGGAAAUAUCUGAGUCGGUUAAAAAGAAGUUCCUCUUUUCCGACUACAUUUCCAGUCAUAGGAACAAUGAGAUUCUCUCUGACUUUGGAGCAACUAGAGAAACUUUUAAACAAAGAAUUGCUUAACGUUCAUCAUGAUGGAUCCAGGUCCUAUCACCCCAGGCUCUUUCCUAAGGCCUGGCCCUCACUCCUACUGUUCUUUCCUCCUGCUGUCAUCUCCUCAGGUCUCUGGAACAUUCCAAUAGACCAAAUUUGGAAAAGAAAGCCAUUACAUUGUGGAAAAUUUAAAGGCUAAGACAUUCCAAAGACAAAUGGUAAGAAAUGACUGAGAAGCAGAAAGAACUAAUGAGGUGAUCAUAGUGCUGACUGUGACCCCCAGGACAGAGCAAAGACUAAAACAAACUCUUGGAAAGCUACUGCAUUAAAAAUAAUAACAGACUUCAUUUGGCCCAAGAAAAUUAUGGAAAUUAGCGCAGUUAUAUAUGAAAUAACAUCCUUAUUGUUCACACAAAUAACCAGAGCCAUGCUUAUUAAAGUUCAUAUUAUGCUUUUCUUUGUGGAAGACAAAGAGCUCUGAGAAUAUGACCUCAUGAGUGCCCAAUUAUUAAAGUUUGCAGCCUGGAUUAAAGGAACACAAGCAGAUGGAGUGCCAACCACCUGAAGUUUUUUUCCUUCU
rnacentral:lncRNA from 1 species